GUGUCAGUAGUGCAACGGAUUGGAGCACGCUCUCCUGCAAAGAGUAAGAUGUGGGUUCGAGUUCCGCCUGACUCG